GUGGGGAAUAUUGGACAAUGGGGGGAACCCUGAUCCAGCCAUGCCGCGUGUGUGAAGAAGGCCUUUUGGUUGUAAAGCACUUUAAGCGAGGAGGAGGCUACCGAGAUUAAUACUCUUGGAUAGUGGACGUUACUCGCAGAAUAAGCACCGGCUAACUCUGUGCCAGCAGCCGCGGUAAUACAGAGGGUGCAAGCGUUAAUCGGAUUUACUGGGCGUAAAGCGCGCGUAGGUGGCCAAUUAAGUCAAAUGUGAAAUCCCCGAGCGUAACUUGGGAAUUGCAUUCGAUACUGGUUGGCUAGAGUAUGGGAGAGGAUGGUAGAAUUCCAGGUGUAGCGGUGAAAUGCGUAGAGAUCUGGAGGAAUACCGAUGGCGAAGGCAGCCAUCUGGCCUAAUACUGACACUGAGGUGCGAAAGCAUGGGGAGCAAACAGGAUUAGAAACCCGGGUAGUCC
rnacentral:rRNA from 1 species